rnacentral:tRNA from 1 species
GGAGGGGUUCCCGAGUGGCCAAAGGGGGCAGACUGUAAAUCUGUUGUCAUCGACUUCGGUGGUUCAAAUCCACCCCCCUCCACCA